rnacentral:rRNA from 1 species
CCAAGCAGCCGCGGUAAUUCCAGCUCCAAUAGCGUAUAUUAAAGUUGUUGUGGUUAAAAAGCUCGUAGUUGGAUCUCAACAGCCUUGAAGCGGUUAACUUUGUAGUUUUACUGCUUUAUAGGCUGUGCUUUUGCUGGAGGUUUAGGGGUGCUCUUGAUCGAGUGUCUCUGGAUGCCAGCAGGUUUACUUUGAAAAAAUUAGAGUGCUCAAAGCAGGCUAAAAUGCCUGAAUAUUCGUGCAUGGAAUAAUAGAAUAGGAUGUCGAUCCUAUUUUGUUGGUUUUCGGGACUCGACAUAAUGAUAAAUAGGGACAGUCGGGGGCAUUUGUAUUCAAACGACAGAGGUGAAAUUCUUGGACCGUUUGAAGACAAACUACUGCGAAAGCAUUUGCCAAGAAUGUUUUCAUUAAUCAAGAACGAAAGUUAGAGGUUCGAAGGCGAUUGGAUACCGCCCUAGUUCUAACCAUAAACGAUGCCAGCUAGCGAUCUGCCUGCGUUUUUACUGUAGACUGGGCAGGAAGCUUCCGGGAAACCAAAGCAUUUGGGUUCCAGGGGAAGUAUGGUUGCAAAGCUGAAACUUAAAGGAAUUGACGGAAGGGCACCACCAGGAGUGGAGCCUGUGGCUUAAUUUGACUCAACACGGGAAAUCUCACCAGGCCCGGACACUGGAAGGAUUGACAGAUUGAUAGCUCUUUCUUGAUUCGGUGGGUGGUGGUGCAUGGCCGUUCUUAGUUGGUGGAGUGAUUUGUCUGGUUAAUUCCGAUAACGAACGAGACUCUGUCCUGCUAAAUAGUUUCUACUUCUCUUUUGAGUAGAAAUUUCUUCUUAGAGGGACUGGUGACUCUUAGUCACACGAGAUUGAGCAAUAACAGGUC